rnacentral:rRNA from 1 species
GUGGAUUAGAUACCCUAGUAGUCCACGCUGUAAACGAUGUCGACUUGGAGGUUGUUCCCUUGAGGAGUGGCUUCCGGAGCUAACGCGUUAAGUCGACCGCCUGGGGAGUACGGCCGCAAGGUUAAAACUCAAAUGAAUUGACGGGGGCCCGCACAAGCGGUGGAGCAUGUGGUUUAAUUCGAUGCAACGCGAAGAACCUUACCUACUCUUGACAUCCAGAGAACUUAGCAGAGAUGCUUUGGUGCCUUCGGGAACUCUGAGACAGGUGCUGCACGGUCGUCGCCAACU